rnacentral:rRNA from 1 species
GACGAACGCUGGCGGCGUGCUUAACACAUGCAAGUCGAACGGAAAGGCCCUGCUUUUGUGGGGUGCUCGAGUGGCGAACGGGUGAGUAACACGUGAGUAACCUGCCCUUGACUUUGGGAUAACUUCAGGAAACUGGGGCUAAUACCGGAUAGGAGCUCCUGCUGCAUGGUGGGGGUUGGAAAGUUUCGGCGGUUGGGGAUGGACUCGCGGCUUAUCAGCUUGUUGGUGGGGUAGUGGCUUACCAAGGCUUUGACGGGUAGCCGGCCUGAGAGGGUGACCGGCGACAUUGGGACUGAGAUACGGCCCAGACUACAACGGGAGGCAGCAGUGGGGAAUAUUGCACAAUGGCCGGAAUCGUGAGGCAGCAACGCCGCGUGAGGGAUGACGGCCUUCGGGUUGUAAACCGCUGUCGCCUGUGACGAAGCUUGAGUGACGGUAAUGGGUAAAGAAGCACCGGCUAACUACGUG